UUUGCUGACGAGUGGCGGACGGGUGAGUAAUGCUUGGGAACUUGCCUUUAGGUGGGGGAUAACAGUUGGAAACGACUGCUAAUACCGCAUAAUGUCUACGGACCAAAGGGGGCUUCGGCUCCCGCCUUGAGAGAGGCCCAAGUGAGAUUAGCUAGUUGGUGGGGUAAAGGCCUACCAAGGCAACGAUCUCUAGCUGUUCUGAGAGGAAGAUCAGCCACACUGGGACUGAGACACGGCCCAGACUCCUACGGGAGGCAGCAGUGGGGAAUAUUGCACAAUGGGGGAAACCCUGAUGCAGCCAUGCCGCGUGUGUGAAGAAGGCCUUCGGGUUGUAAAGCACUUUCAGUUGUGAGGAAAGGUUGGUAGUUAAUACCUGCCAGCUGUGACGUUAACAACAGAAGAAGCACCGGCUAACUCCGUGCCAGCAGCCGCGGUAAUACGGAGGGUGCGAGCGUUAAUCGGAAUUACUGGGCGUAAAGCGCACGCAGGCGGCUUGUUAAGCUAGAGGUGAAAGCCCCGCGCUCAACGUGGGAACUGCCUUUAGAACUGGCAGGCUAGAGUCUUGGAGAGGGGAGUGGAAUUCCAGGUGUAGCGGUGAAAUGCGUAGAUAUCUGGAGGAA
rnacentral:rRNA from 1 species